rnacentral:rRNA from 1 species
GAUGAACGCUAGCGGCAGGCCUAACACAUGCAAGUCGAGGGGCAGCACGGGCAGCAAUGCCUGGUGGCGACCGGCGCACGGGUGCGUAACACGUAUGCAACCUGCCUUACGCAGGGGGAUAACCCGGAGAAAUUCGGACUAAUACCCCGUGGCGCGUAGCGGCGGCAUCGCCGCUACGCUAGAGAUUUAUCGGCGUAAGAUGGGCAUGCGUCCUAUUAGCUGGAUGGCGGGGUAACGGCCCACCAUGGCGACGAUAGGUAGGGGUUCUGAGAGGAAGGUCCCCCACACUGGUACUGAGACACGGACCAGACUCCUACGGGAGGCAGCAGUGAGGAAUAUUGGUCAAUGGGCGAGAGCCUGAACCAGCCAUGCCGCGUGCAGGACGACGGCCCUACGGGUUGUAAACUGCUUUUGUACGGGGGCAAACCCUACCUUGCGGGGUAGGCUGAGAGUACCGUACGAAUAAGGAUCGGCUAACUCCGUGCCAGCCGCCGCGGUAAUAC